rnacentral:lncRNA from 1 species
AGGUCACAAGAUUGCGCCAACCCUUACAUGGUCCUUAAAAAAAAAACCUUCUGACACUGCAGUAGUGAAAAUGAAGCGCACGAUGGGCGGAAGCUGUGAGUCCGGCAAAGUUUUAAAAUGAUGACGUAUUUUAUUAACUCUAACGGCACUGGCGGGUGACUGAAAAUACUAGUGCUGUGUAUGCGGGAUAGACAUUAUUUUCCUGCCCUACAUGAGGGGCUCGUGCGCGGAACGACAUGGGCAGCCCCGGCGGAAACUGCAGGCACAAGCCGGGACGCCGCGGGUUUAAAACAUGCGCGUGAGAGGAAGACAAACAUAAAGAUGAAGUGCUUAAUUCAAGGUCACACAAUGUCGGGGAUGGACCUCCAGAUUUCCUUACUGGUGAGACGUGGUCUUGUAACACAGUGGUUAAGAAUGUGACUUUGGAGCCAGCCUGCUAGGGGCUGAAUUCUGACUCAGCCAUUUACUAACUGUGUGACCUUAGGGAGGAGGACCUGGUUGAUAGAAGAAUUUAUCUCGUAGUCUUAACAUCCACUGUAAUUCCAAACUUUGAGGACGAUAGAGAUCAGUGGGCUUUGACUGCCCAGCAUGCAGUCUCCAUUCUUAGGUGGGUUCCCAAGCCUGUAAAAUGUAAGCCUUAUGCUGCUGAGGGCCAUCUUGCCACCCUGAGGGAAACGCUGCCUGAGAAUGAAACAAGCAUAAGUAAAAGCUGAGCUGUGAGAUGGAGCAAGAUGAAGGCCACAUGACAUCUUUGGAGCACCUGGAUCUAACUGUGCCUUAAGCUAGUCUAACCCUGAACAUUUCAUCAUUUCAUUGACAUGAGCCCAGGUUUUCUUUUUUUUUGGAUGGAGUCUUGCUCUGUCGCCCAGGCUGGAGUGCAGUAGCUCAAUCUCGGCUCACUGCAAGCUCCACCUCCCGGGUUCACGCCAUUCUCCUGCCUUAGCCUCCCAAGUAGCUGGGACAACAGGCGCCCACCACCACUCCCAGCUAAUUUUUUGUAUUUUUAGUAGAGACGGGGUUUUACCAUGUUAGCCGGGAUGGUCUUGAUCUCCUGACCUCAUGAUCCGCCCGCCUCGGCCUCCCAAAGUGCUGGGAUUACAGGUGUGAGCCACUGCACCCAGCCCUCAGGUUUUCCCUUUUUUUACCCCUCCUUUUGAAAAUUUGAUGUGGAAUUUUGCCACCUGCAGCCAGAAGAGUUUUAACUAAUCAGUGCCAUAAAUUUUAUAUAGUUCUCCUUGCAAAAUGUGGAUCAGCCUUUCUCAGCAAAUCCUUUGUCAUAAAGUGCUGAAUUGUAAGUUUGUCAUGAGAAUCACAUGAGAUCAUGCAUGUGAAGAACCUGGCAUUAUCCUCCUCAUAGAAAAAAACCAGUAAAUAUUAACUACAGGAAGCAAGGAAGGAGUGGGGUGAGGGGAAGAAGAAGGGGUACUGAUUUAAAAGAACCCUGGAGUCCUAAGGAUAAUCUAGGAACCCUCAGACCCAAUCCGAUACCCCUAUUCUAAAUGCUCCUAGUGCCCUGUACCUUCCCCUCAUAAGCCUUCAUUAUCAUUGUAAUGAUAUGUUUAUGUAAUAUUUUGAUUAAUGUCUCUCCUUCACUGACCUAGCAGUUCUAGCAGGGCAGUGAUUUUGCUGUGUUGCAUCCCCAGCACCUAGUCUGGUAUGUGGCAUUCAGCAUAUGUUUAUUGAAUGAAUGGCCAUGUGGUUAUUCAGAUCCUCCUUGAUUAUUGGGGUUAGGAUUGUGGCAGAAGUGGCAAAAUCAGGGAGAGUAGUCCCUGUCCCCUCUGUAUCUUAUACACUGCCCACACUCCCAACACACAUACACAUACAGAGAAUUUUGUCUCAAUUAGAUAAUUAACUUCUGCUUGGUUGUAAACCAAACCACUGGUUCUUAAACUUUCAUUGGAUCAUUUUAUUGAAGAAUUAAAUAGUGUGGUUCUGGCCUAAUGUCUGGAAAGCCUUGCAGAGGAGUGGAUUAGGUCUUUGUGAUAAACAGGCAGCCUUCCCUGCUCCUGUGUCUUUAUAAAAUCUAUUUAACUGGAGUAGUCCACCCUCCCUCAGGCUCUUACAGGAAUAUGUUGGAGGCUGUAGGAAGGUGGGAAACCGAGAGGGAAAGGACUGGGCCGCUGGAGACUUCACUCAUUCCCUAGCAAGAAACAAAAGCAGUAAAAGGUGGCCCGAGGACAACCUGAAGCUCACUCCUUCAGCACUUUUGGCUGGAGGUCACUUGUUGGAGCCCCACUCAGAGCUCAGCACACCACCCCACCAGCAGCCUCCUCCUCCCAGCUGAGGCUGCAUUUCAUCCCUUCCCCCAGCCUGCUUUCCCUGAGAUAGGGGAGUGUUUCCCAGGGCCCAUGUGACUUCCACUGGCAAGUGACGAUUACCAAUGGUUUACUAGUCAGUGAAACUACCAAAGGCUUUUGUGCUGUAGUAAUCCUUUUCCUGUUUAAAACUCUGGGGAUUUUCUAAUGUUGCCAAUAGUUUUUCAAGUCAGCAAUUACUGUGUGGAUUAUGUAAUGGCUCGGUAUUAAAAAUAGAAAAGACUGGA